UACGGAGGGUGCAAGCGUUAUCCGGAUUCACUGGGUUUAAAAGGGGUGCGUAGGAGGGUAGGUAAGUCAGUGGUGAAAUCUUCGAGCUUAACUCGGAACUGCCGUUGAUACUAUCUAUCUUGAAUACCGUGGAGGUGAGCGGAAUAUGUCAUGUAGCGGUGAAAUGCUUAGAUAUGACAUAGAACACCAAUUGCGAAGGCAGCUCGCUACACGAAAUAUUGACUCUGAGGCACGAAAGCGUGGGGAUCAAACAGG
rnacentral:rRNA from 1 species